GACGAACGCUGGCGGCGUGCCUAAUACAUGCAAGUUGAGCGCUGAAGGUUGGUACUUGUACCAACUGGGUGAGCCGCGAACGGGUGAGUAACGCGUGGGGAAUCUGCCUUUGAGCGGGGGACAACCUUUGGAAACGAAUGCUAAUACCGCAUAAAAACUUUAUACACAGGUUUUAAGUUUGAAAGAUGCCAUUUCAUCACUCACUCAUGAUCUCGCGUUGUAUUAGCUAGUUGGUGGGGUAAAGGCUCACCAAGGCGAGGCAACAUAGCCGACAUGAGCGGGUGGGUAGCCACAUUGGGACGGAGACAGGGCACAAACGGACUCAGAAGGCAGCAGGAGGGAAACGUGGGGAAUGGACGAAAGACUGACCGAGAAACGCGGAGGGAGGGAGGAAGGAUGUCGGAUCGUAAAACACUGUUGGUAGAGAAGAACGUGGGUGAGACUGGAAAGAUGAGUAAGUGACGGUAACUAGCCAGAAAGGGACGGCUAACUACGUG
rnacentral:rRNA from 1 species